rnacentral:rRNA from 1 species
UUGUAUUAUUAGUUAAUGCAAGAUCGACUACGUCGACUAAAGUUCUAGGUAGAAUAAUGAUGAUGACAAUUUUUUACCUAUAUGUCUUGACCAAGUCUCGUGCCAGCAGUCGCGGUAAUACGUGGAAGACUAGUGUUAUUCAUCUUUAUUAGGUUUAAAGGGUACCUAGACGGUAUUUCUAGCCCAAAAUAGGGUACGGAUUUACUAGAGUUUUAUGUGAGGAGGGGAGUACUCGUGGAGUAGAGAUGAAAUUUUGUUAUACUAUGAGGUAACUGGUAGCGGCGAAAGCAACCUUCUAUGUAUAAACUGACGUUGAGGGACGAAGGCUUGGGUAGCAAAUAGGAUUAGAUACCCUAGUAGUCCAAGCAGACAAUUCUGAAUGCCAUAGAUUAGAUUAUUUUUGAUCUAUAAAUGAAAGUGUAAGCAUUCCACCUUAGGAGUAAUGUGGCAACACAGGAACUGAAAUCAUUAGACCGUUUCUGAAACCAGUAGUGAAGUAUGUUAUUUAAAUUGAUGGUCCACAAAAAACCUUACCACAACUUGAAUAUUUUUAAUUAAUACAAGCGUUGCACGGCUGUCUUCAGUUAAUGUCGUGAGAUUUUGGUUAACUCCAUUAAUUAACGUAAACCCUUACUUU